rnacentral:rRNA from 1 species
UCUUUUCCUUUUUUUUCAGCCGCCGCGGUAAUACGGAAGGUCCGGGCGUUAUCCGGAUUUAUUGGGUUUAAAGGGAGCGUAGGCCGGAGAUUAAGCGUGUUGUGAAAUGUAGACGCUCAACGUCUGCACUGCAGCGCGAACUGGUUUCCUUGAGUACGCACAAAGUGGGCGGAAUUCGUGGUGUAGCGGUGAAAUGCUUAGAUAUCACGAAGAACUCCGAUUGCGAAGGCAGCUCACUGGAGCGCAACUGACGCUGAAGCUCGAAAGUGCGGGUAUCGAACAGG